AUUUUUGUUUGACUGUAGCCCUGUAGUGUUAGACCUAAAUCAAGGUGACUGCAUUUAUAAGAUUAAUUUUUCAUUCUACCUUCUAGCUUAAGUCUUGAAACACAUACGACUCUUAAUAGAUUUUAUGUUCACCUGCGCUUGUCAGCGGAAGUAAAAACCUGGUGAAGCACGCGACUCCCACUCCGCUCCUGAAUAUUUCAGUAUUUAGAUUACCUGCAGCAGCAUUGCUGAAGAUUUGUCGGAGCACCUCAGACAGGAGUGUAACGGGAAAAAGCAGAUUGAAGACACUGGAGGCCGUGGAGAAGCAGAUUUGUGACUUGGUUCAGAAGUAGGCCCAGCUGAGAGAGCGGAGAGCCGUGCUGGAAACCUCCCGGGCUGACAGUCACUAGUCUGGGGAGCGUCCUAGGCUUUUUUGCACUGAUGGCCUGCACAGAGUCGGAGCAGAACUACUGUCAGACAACAUCUCCAGGAUGCUAAGCUCCAUAUGACUAGACAGAACUGAAUACUGUCCUUGGAGUUGAGCUGAAUAGUGAUCCGAAAGGCGAUGGUGGAGAUGGUGAUGAAGACAAGGGAGACACACACACUCACGGUAGAGACAGGAGGGAACUUGGAGACGUUGGAGACAGUGCGCUGGGUGCUGUUGGAGCAGUGUACGGCAUAUGACUUUGUGAGAUGUUAUAUGCCGUUAUGUCUUUUGGAUCCAAGUCUCUAUAAAUCUACAACAAAGAACAUAAAAACAGUUUUGCAUCACACAAAAUGUAAUUUUUGAUGUGUAUUACGGAACAGAAUUAUAUAUUUUACAUAAAAGAUUUUUAUAGUCAACAAGAGAAAAUAAUACUCAUAACACACAGCUGUCACAAAAGGUUCAGACGUUCACCAAUGCUCCAGAAGGAGAAACGAUGCAUUGAAAACAUGGAGUUGAAAAGUUGAAAAUUAAGUUUUUUUGGCUUCUGGGGAAACAACAUCUUUAGCUUCUGAAGAGCAGUAAUAAAUGAAAAAAAUAUGAUAUUUAGGUAAAACAAAGUGCACAUAUUAUUAAUUUUGGAAAAUGAUCUUUCAUGUAGUGUGUCACACAGCUCUAACUGAAAGAAAACAUCCUGCAAAGUUUUAAAUCUGAAAGUGCACCGUGUAUAAAGUGAUUGUCUCUCAAAAGAAAGGUCCAAUUGGACCAUCACUGCAGAUUGGCGUCAUGCCAAGGAGAGGUUUGGAAAAAUUAAUAAUCGAGCGAUUCAUUUGUGAGUCCUUGA